rnacentral:rRNA from 1 species
GUCGAGCGAACGGACGAGAAGCUUGCUUCUCUGAUGUUAGCGGCGGACGGGUGAGUAACACGUGGAUAACCUACCUAUAAGACUGGGAUAACUUCGGGAAACCGGAGCUAAUACCGGAUAAUAUUUUGAACCGCAUGGUUCAAAAGUGAAAGACGGUCUUGCUGUCACUUAUAGAUGGAUCCGCGCUGCAUUAGCUAGUUGGUAAGGUAACGGCUUACCAAGGCAACGAUGCAUAGCCGACCUGAGAGGGUGAUCGGCCACACUGGAACUGAGACACGGUCCAGACUCCUACGGGAGGCAGCAGUAGGGAAUCUUCCGCAAUGGGCGAAAGCCUGACGGAGCAACGCCGCGUGAGUGAUGAAGGUCUUCGGAUCGUAAAACUCUGUUAUUAGGGAAGAACAUAUGUGUAAGUAACUGUGCACAUCUUGACGGUACCUAAUCAGAAAGCCACGGCUAACUACGUGCCAGCAGCCGCGGUAAUACGUAGGUGGCAAGCGUUAUCCGGAAUUAUUGGGCGUAAAGCGCGCGUAGGCGGUUUUUUAAGUCUGAUGUGAAAGCCCACGGCUCAACCGUGGAGGGUCAUUGGAAACUGGAAAACUUGAGUGCAGAAGAGGAAAGUGGAAUUCCAUGUGUAGCGGUGAAAUGCGCAGAGACAUGGAGGAACACCAGUGGCGAAGGCGACUUUCUGGUCUGUAACUGACGCUGAUGUGCGAAAGCGU